CUUCUGAGACCAGGCUGAGGCCACCAAGUACUCAGGCCAAGUGGGGACUCCUGCCAAGCAAUGGCCAUCUCCAGAUGUCUGCCAGCCAGAGGGAGUGGCUGGCCUGUGGGGCCCAAGGGCAAAGACAGGACUAAUGGGAGGAAAUGACACCAAGGAGCAAUUUCAUCUAGCUGGUCUACCAGUCAGAGCCGGCCACCCGUGGCCCCCCCAGGCCUCCACCAGAAGCCCUGCACUCCCUGUCACCAGAGGUGUGAGAGCAGAGGCCAGGGGCUCCCAAGGGAGGGAAGCCACUGGUGGGGUUUCUAUCACAAGGCUUCUCCCAGGCUGUGGGCAGUCACUUGUACUUCCUGUGUGGCUCUACCCACACUGGGCCCACUUGAGCUGCUGUAGGCGUCUGAGCAAGGACCGGCUGUGAGCUAAUCCUCAGGGAAAGAUGCCUCUUCCUGUGAGCCCUCUUCGCACGGUCCCAGACGAGCCCCACUUCACCUUCUCCAGCCCACGCCUCCCGCCCCCCUACUGCUCAUGUAAAUCCUCUCAGAAUAGCUUGCAUCUUUCUCCCCUACUCGGUUUCUCUAUCUUGGCAACUGUGGACGUUUUUAGCUGGGUGACUUUUCGUCAUGGAGGCUGCCCUGCGCACUGUCGGAUGUCUGGCAAGGUCGCCGACCUCGAUCCCCCACCCACCUGAGGCAGGUAACAUUUGCAUGCCUCCACCCCCCCAACACCACAGGUGUCACCUAAUGUCUCCUUGGGGAUGAAUUACCCCCGGUGGAGAACCGCUGAAUUAAAACACAAUACAUAUUCAUUGUAGAAAACAAGACAAAAAUAAUCUCUAAUUCCUGGAUCCAGAGUAAAUCCUGAUAAAUAUUUGGAGGACUUCUUUCCAGACCUUUUUCCUGCAUAUAUGCAUUUUUUCUCUAGAGGGAGGGUUUAAAAAUUUUUUUCUAUUUAUUGAUUUGAGAGAGAGAGAGGAACAUCAAUUUGUUGUUCCACUUAAUCUAUGCACUCAUUGGUUGAUUCUUGUAUGUGCCCUGACUGGGGAUUGAACCUGCAACCUUGGUGCAUCGGGGUGACACUCUGACCAACUGAGCUACUCAGCCAGAGCCAUAUAUGCAUUUUUUAAACUCUUUUUUUAAGAUUUCAUUUAUUUAUCUUUAGAGGGGAAGGGAAGGAGAGAGGGAGAGAAAUAUCAAUGUAUGGUUGCCUCUCAUGCGUCCCCUGCUGGGAACUGGCCUGCAGGGAACCGGCCUGCAACCCAGGCCUGUGCCCUGACUGGGAACCGAACCUCGAUCGAUCCUCUGGUCCGCAGGCCAGGCCCGCACUCAAUCCACUGAGCUGCACCAGCCAGGGCUGCUCACCAGGCUUUUACCUCCGGUACCAGGGGUCCAGGGGUCGAUGUGGCCGUUCACCCGAAGGUGGUGCGCCAUGGGGACUGCCUCACACUCACACGAGUGCACCACUUACAAAAAGUCACCUAGGCCCAGGGCUGCCUGGCCCAGAGCAUGGGCUUGCGGUGGCCCAGCCCUCCCCGGCCUGGGCGGGAGCCCCGAGUCAGGGGCCUUUGGGGCCUCAUCACUGUGUACUCUGCCCCGGACAUGGCAGCUCCACCCUGCUCUGCCCAUUGGCCUUAGGACAUGGGGACAUGGGCCACUUGGGGGAGAGUACAGAGGCAGCUGCCCCUUUUCACGUCUUUUCAGGCUUCACGGUGUUGACCCCCCACUGAGGAUGGCCUGGGAGAAGGUCUGCUGUCACUCCAGUGUCUGAGCUGGACCCUGCUGUGGAGGGCGGCGGGAGGCAGGGCAGGUAUCUGUCAGGUGCCCCUUCCGCCUGUCCAGGUGGCCAGUUUGGAGGUCAAGGCCCAGAGUCGGCUGGGACUUGCUGCCCUGCAGCAGGAUCCAAGAGCUCCAACCAGCAAGAUUUGUGCUUGAUAGCAGGAGGCAGCGCUCAGCCCUGUCCACCUUGGCCUUAACCCAAGUGGUGGGGCAGCUACGGUCCACCCUCAGGCUGCUGACCCGGCCAGUCCUGGGUCACACAGCCUAUGGGGCACCACAAUGGGCUUUGAGCUGUGGGUGUCGGGAAGGUGACAGUUACUCUCCAGAUGGGCAGGGAAUUCCGGCGGGUGGGCCUUGCAGAGUUGUCUCGCGGCACUCCCCAGAAAAGGAAUGGCCAGAGGGAGAGGGCUGUGCUUUCUGUCCCCCUCUGGGGGGUUGCGGCCCAGCAGUGCCUCCCCUCGGGGGAAGGCUCAGUCCCCUCUGGACGGCAGGAAGGAGUGCUCUCACCCCGGCUCCUCCCAGAACUCUCUGCCUUGUGUGCGGGCCUGUGCUCUCCUCCCCGGCCCACUGCUUCGAGUCUCACACGAGGGAUGCUGGUGGGAAUCUGGAACGCUUCCUUCUCCCACCUCCGGAAAUCUGAAGUCACUCCUGGGAGGCCCGGUCAGGCCCUGCGAAGAGGCAGCGCCAGCCAGCUGCGCAGCGACGGGUCCGAUGGGCUUGGGCUGGGGUGGGCUUCCUGGCUCUGCCUCGUGUAGAAACAGCCCGCUCAGCCCAGAGUCCCGAGGCCUGGCCGGUGUUCCUGUGGACACACAGCGCCUACCCGCAGGGCUACCGGAGCACCGCUGUGGGCACACGGCUCCAUGGGACAUGCAUGGUCGUGCUAAGGACACACACACACACACACAAGUGUGUCAGUCUUGCCGCCACAAGUGUGUCAUCGUCACUAUGCCUCCGUGCUCCCAAUACAGAACCUCAGGCCUGAUUAAAAAUAAGCGGUGAUCUUGCCCAGCACAGGAGCCAGUGGCUUCCCCCAGGGCAUGUGAAACGGGCACCGUGUACGCCUAACUCUUCAGGGCCUGGUCCAGCUCUAUCAGGUGAGCUGCACCUGCGCGCCGAUGAUUCACGAGCACAUGCAGGCCGGCCACGGGCUGGGGGAGUGGCUGCUCCCGGCCACGGCAGGUCUCUGGCGGAUUUAUGACUCAGGGUCAGGAAUCCAUAAACCGCCUUUAUCCCUGGGAAAGAUGACGAUGCAUUCACUCCAAAGAGGUCUCAGCUGGAGUCUUCGGCAAACCCUGGUCGGAGCUGAGAACCAUCAGACGAGGGACUUCCAGCAGUUCUACUGGUCCCUGAGGAGAGGCGAGGGCUGCGACCGAGGAAGGAGACUCGAAUGGAAACCUGUGCUAACCCGAGCCCGGUAGUGGCUGUACCGGACUGUUUGCCUGUGUUACCGGUACAGGCCUGCAGCCCUGGGGGCGGGGGCAGUGGGGUCGGCGAGGGGAACCCGGACCAGAGAGACCUGAAGUCAGCGUUGGCGCUCCCCCAGAGAAACCCGCCUAUCUUCUGGAUGAGGAGAUGGGCCGGAAAGGUGAAGACACGGCCCCGAGAUUGAACAGCACGUGAGGGGCCAAGCCAGGACCCAGCCUUGGACUCCAGGCCCCGGCCCUGCCUGGGAGUCGUCUCCCACACAGUCCCUCUUCCAAACAGGGAGAAGCCCGAGACAGUGACUCAGAGCCCCUCGGCAGUUUUGCUGAUAGAUUUUUUUUGUUUUGAAGUAAGAUCUGCCUCUAUUAAAGUCUUUAGGAAAUUAUAGUGAUUUUGAUUUUUUUUCAGACAUGUUUGAAUUACUCAUAGUCUGGAAUUCCCAGGCAGGGGGCGAGACCCAGAGAGGCUGCUGAGGAAGUUCGGGGCAUAGGAGUUGGGGUCAGCUGAAUCUGGGUUCAAAUCCCUUGCUGCCCCAAGGCUUGCCUUCCUCAUCUGGGUUUGGUAACCAACACCAGCACUUAGUUCAAAGGUCGCUGGGGGCUGCAGGAGGUAACAAGCAGAGAGCACUCGGCCCCUCAGAGGCCUGAGUGGGUGGGCACCCGACCAGGCAGGAAGGCCAGCUCUCAC